UGUCGAAUAGCCGUUCGGCAAUCGUCAGGGUCAUAACCUGAAGGUCAUAGGUUCAAAUCCUAUCCCGGCAACCA
rnacentral:tRNA from 1 species